GCCAACGUAGCUCAGGCGGUUAGAGCGGUCGUUUCAUAAGCGACAGGUCACUGGUUCAAGUCCAGUCGUUGGCACCA
rnacentral:tRNA from 1 species